rnacentral:rRNA from 1 species
UACGUAGGGUGCAAGCGUUGUCCGGAAUUAUUGGGCGUAAAGAGCUCGUAGGCGGUCUGUCGCGUCGAAUGUGAAAAUCCGGGGCUCAACCCCGGACCUGCAUUCGAUACGGGCAGACUAGAGUUCGGUAGGGGAGUCUGGAAUUCCUGGUGUAGCGGUGAAAUGCGCAGAUAUCAGGAGGAACACCAGUGGCGAAGGCGGCCACCUGGAUGGGCACUGACACUCAACUGCGAAAGCGUGGGGAGCAAACAGGA